rnacentral:rRNA from 1 species
UUUAUUGGAGAGUUUGAUCCUGGCUCAGGAUGAACGCUGGCGGCGUGCCUAAUACAUGCAAGUCGAGCGAAUGGAUUAAGAGCUUGCUCUUAUGAAAUUAGCGGCGGACGGGUGAGUAACACGUGGGUAACCUGCCCAUAAGACUGGGAUAACUCCGGGAAACCGGGGCUAAUACCGGAUAACAUUUUGAACUGCAUGGUUCGAAAUUGAAAGGCGGCUUCGGCUGUCACUUAUGGAUGGACCCGCGUCGCAUUAGCUAGUUGGUGAGGUAACGGCUCACCAAGGCAACGAUGCGUAGCCGACCUGAGAG